GAGGAUAUAGCUCAGUGGUAGAGUGCAUGCUUAGCAUGUACAAGAUCCUAGAUUCAAUUCCCAGUACCUCCA
rfam:Camelus ferus unplaced genomic scaffold scaffold912, whole genome shotgun sequence.